rnacentral:rRNA from 1 species
CCGGGAGGCAGCAGUAGGGAAUCUUCCACAAUGGACGAAAGUCUGAUGGAGCAACGCCGCGUGAGUGAAGAAGGGUUUCGGCUCGUAAAGCUCUGUUGGUAGUGAAGAAAGAUAGAGGUAGUAACUGGCCUAUAUUUGACGGUAAUUACUUAGAAAGUCACGGCUAACUACGUGCCAGCAGCCGCGGUAAUACGUAGGUGGCAAGCGUUGUCCGGAUUUAUUGGGCGGAAAGCGAGUGCAGGCGGUUCCAUUAAUAUG